GGACAGAGAGAGCAAGGUGAGACGUGGAGGUGAGGAUCUGAAGGUUAGGUUGGAGCCAGAGAGGCAGCAAACAGGUUCAGGAGGAUUCAUCAUGGUGCCUGUAGGGUAUUCCAUUCUAGCUCAGCUGUGUCUGGAGACCACAAGAUGCAUGAUUCCCAUCCCGGCACCACCGGCAUCCUAGAGAAGAGUCGCUGGGAAGAAGGAGUUCUGAUUAAAUAAGGAAGUCUCUGGCUCUUGCGCUCCUGGUCCAGGCAACAAACCACCCCAAUUAAAAAGGACUAAGGGGCCAUGAGACGGCUCAACGGAUAAAAGCAAGUGCUGUCAAGCUUGAGGGACUGAGUUCGAACCCCAGGACCCACAUGGUACAAAGAGAGAACUGACUCCUGCAAGUUGCCCUCUGACCUCCACACAUGAACACACAAUAAAUUAAAAUGGUUUUUUUUUUUUUAAUGAAUAAAAUGUCUGAGCUCGUAUAACCAAUUCAAGGGGAGGCAGUUCCAGGGACGUUUUAAAGAUCCCUGGGUUCACUCCAGAUCUGCUCGGACUUGGAUUGUAGAUCCAUUCCCUCGUGGCUACAAAAAGGUUGCCGGAACACUGGGUUCCGUCUACACACACAUGACCUUAUCUAAAGACAUUGAGGGUAACUUACAUAAAGGUUUGUGCUUCGUCUGGAGUGGUGGGUCCUCCUAGAGGGAGUGAGUCAGUCCCUCCCGCAUUGCACAACCCUCGCCAUCAUGGGUUUCCAACGCUUCUGAGCGAUGAUGAAGAACACACCACUGUAGGUGUGCUGCACCGCGAUCAUUGGGCGCGCUGUUGAGCAACCAUCGAUCUCUAGGACCUCUCGUCUUGCAAAACUGAAACUAAGCCACUGGGCAGCUCCUUCCCCCACUGCCCCAGACAGCCACAUUCUGUCAGCUCUCUCUAUGAACUUGGCCUCUGGAAAACACCACGCAGAGAAUGAAAUCGUGUCCAACCUGUUGUUGUGAGACUUCGCUUAACCUGGCGCCCUAAAGCUUCC